AGGAGAAGGAGGAGAAGAAAGGGGCGGCGACGGGAGAGCGGUGGCGGAGAGCGGCACCGCCAUCGACCUCCUCGUCCCGCGGCGGGCAGGAGGGAGGCGGACGAGCGGCGGCCGCCGCCGCCAGAGUGAGGCCCGGCGGCUGAGCACCAAGACCGGAUACAGCACUACAGUCAAGGCCUCAAAAACACCAGCAUCUGCGCUGUCACGCCCAUCACAGACUAUGUUCCUGUUUACAUAUGCCAAUACAAAUACUUUUCAGACAAUGUGAUUUAUUCACAAUAUUGCUGAGCUGUUUUACCCCUGCAUCCAUUUCUGCUGACCUACCAAGCCAGUUAUUUCUACUUCAAGUAGACAGUAAUGCCACUUGAGAAUUGAUGUAUUGCAACAGUCCUAAUACUUUUCCUUCGUUUUUAUUACUGGACAGAUGGACAAUCAAGCAGUCAAGACAUCUUUUAAAAUAAAGUUCUGUGUGCUUUUAAGUCAGAAAACUGUAAACAUGUCAUCCUUGUAAAUCAAUUGCAUUCCUCAGAAGUGUAGUUGAAAGACCAAAAUUCAGCAGAGAUUGAACUGUACCAUGGUUACAGAAUGUGUAACUGAAUUUAAAGGAGAGAUAUGUAUAUAAGUAAAUUCACUUAAACCAACUUUGCUAAAAUAACCUAAAUGCGAGCAAUGGCUUGUAACAAAGAAUGUAGGUCAGUUUGGUUUUUAUACUAACAUAAGGUAAAAUUUUGCAAAAACACUAACUUCCUGUUGCUGUGAUCAAUACGGAACUAAACCUGCAGAUGCACAUAUUUGGCUUUGUUAAGUGUACUUAAUUCCAUUAGUUUUGUUUGUCAGCCUCACACGGUAAUACUCAGAUUUAUUCACUGGCCUGUGCACUUCUUCUGGUCUGGACUGAACAGUGCACCGAGCAGCUCAUAAAAUUACUGAUGGCAAACUCUGUAAAAGGGAAGUUGUAGCACAGCCUGAUGGCUAGACAGGCUUUGUAGGUGAAGUUGAGCAUGGCAUGUUAAAUGGUUGUACUUGGAUUUCAUUUCACAAUGGGAAGACCAAUCGUUGCAAAAUGCUAAAAAUCUAAAACUGAAGCACAUGGUACGGGUAUUUAUUAAGGUCCCUGUCCUAGAAGGGAUAAAACUCAAGACUGCUUGAAGAGCUCCCAGUGCAAGUUCGCUGCCCUGCACACAAGGCUUUAUACUUGUCGUUCUGUCGUUGAGGAAUAGCUAUAGAAUUAGUUCUUCGGUACAGCUGAACAGGGUGGUAAAUAAUGCAUACAGAUAGUUUGUCUUCUCUGAAAACUGCUUCAUGUGCUAUGGUUUUGUCCAUUCUGACCGUGUAAAACAUUUUUAUGAUGCUUUAUACUUGGUGAUAUUUGUAUGGUAACAACUCAAGAAAAAUACGGGGUUUAUCAGUGAAUAAAGAAAAAUCUUACCUCUUUUUUAUCA